rnacentral:rRNA from 1 species
AGCGAACGCUGGCGGCAGGCUUAACACAUGCAAGUCGAGCGGGCACCCUGGUGGUGUCAGCGGCAGACGGGUGAGUAACGCGUGGGAACGUGCCCUUCGGCUCGGAAUAACUCUGGGAAACUUGAGCUAAUACCGGAUACGUGCGAGAGCAGAAAGGUUUAUCUGCCGAAGGAUCGGCCGGCGUCUGAUUAGCUAGUUGGUGAGGUUAUGGCGCACCAAGGCCACGAUCAGUAGCUGGGCUGAGAGAAUGGUCAGAGACACUUGGACUGAGACACGGUCCAGACUCUUACGGGAGGCAGCAGUGGCGAAUAUUGGACAAUGGGGGCAACGCUGAUCCAGCUAGGCCGGGAGAGUGAUGACGGUCUUAGGGAUGUAAAGCUCUUUUAUCCGGGACGGUAAUGACGGUACCGGAGGAAUAAGCCCCGGCUAACUUCGUG